AUACGAAAGGGGCAAGCGUUGGCCGGAAUAACUGGGCGUAAAGCGCACGUAGGCGGAAUGUUAAGUUAGAGGUGAAAUCCCAGGGCUCAACCCUGGAACUGCCUUUAAUACUGGCAAUCUAGAGACCGAGAGAGGUGAGUGGAAUUCCGAGUGUAGAGGUGAAAUUCGUAGAUAUUCGGAGGAACACCAGUGGCGAAGGCGGCUCACUGGCUCGGUACUGACGCUGAGGUGCGAAAGCGUGGGGAGCAAACAGGAUUAGAAACCCUAGUAGUCC
rnacentral:rRNA from 1 species